CGUGGAGGACGACGAGAAGCGGAUGGCGGAUGAGUGUCCCGGCUAAGGGAUCAGGCCCUCCCUCCUUGCUCGGCGCGCGCAACUAACAAGGUCAGUUACUCCACGACAUGUAGCACGAGAGAGGAGCAAGUAAGCAGGAUGCAGCCAUGAAGCAAGCCGAUGGGAGGAAGGGGAAUGACCCCCAUUAUGGAUUUCUCAAUUUUGCAAGAUGGCGGUGUGGGGUCACAUGGGAAAUUAGGCGAUAAGAACAAAUUUGCUCUUUGGUUA